AAGACUAUACUUUCAGGGAUCAUUUAUAUGAUUUGUGGCUACAGAAGUUUCUCAGCGUGAGGAGCCCCAGAAACCAUGAGGAGGAGACGCAGCAUUCUCUGUGGCGCGUGAGGCCAGCUCUUGGUUUUACUUCGCUACAACUGCAUUUGCCAUUGGUGAUCGUUCUUCUCUCAUCUCAGGGAGAGUAGAAGGGAGAGAAGAUGCAGCCUGAGUGA
rnacentral:snoRNA from 10 species